CCCGCAAGCCUACUAUUUUUUCUACUAUCCUAAUCAAUUAAGAAUUUGAUCUACCAUUCUCAACAAUGAAUUAAUUUCAGCGUCGAUUACCAACACUGAUCGGUUUCCCAUUUACGACUUGUAUACCAGGAAAAGCCAGAAGCUGAAUAACUUCCCAUUUUGGUUGCAGCCGCCGACAUCACAAACGGAGAACUUAUCUGCCGGCCACGCCAGAAUAGUGAACGAUCAUAAUCAGCCCGUUUCUCGGGAUCGGAUAGAGUUUCAUAAGCUUCGUGUAUUUUUAUGAAUUCGAACGUCGUCUCCUUCUUUUGACCGUUAGCUGCAACAUCAGGAUGCAAAACUCUUGCCAGUCUCCGAUAAGCAGCCUUGAUCUCUAGACACGUCGCGCCCGUCUGAAUCCCAAGGACUUCGUAUAGGGAUCCUGGCGAUGCAAUGUGGGAAUGUGUUGUUGUUCUCUCGGCAGUGGUGGAGCAAGCGGAGGAGACACGGAGUGGACGGAAGCUGAAGCGAGGGGCUUGUUGACGGGGAACCGCCAUGNNNNNNNNNNGAGAGGAGGAGCUGCGAGGGGCAAAAGAAGACGCGAGGGGCUUGUGAACGGGAACCGUCGAUGGGCAAUCGUAAGCCAAUGAAAUGAGGAGAGGAGGAGCUGCGAGGGGCAAAAGAA
rnacentral:misc_RNA from 1 species